GACUGAGAUUGGGCUCUCUCCUCCUGCCACCCAAGAUGCCAAAAAGAAAGGCCAAUGGGAAGAAGCAGGUGGCCAAGAAAGUGGUGAAUCCCCUGUUUGAGAAAAGAAUUAAGAAUUUUGGCAUUGGACAGGACAUCCAGCCCAAAAGGGAGCUCACCUACUUUAUGAAAUGGCCCCAUUGUAUCAGGUUGCAGCACCAGAGAGCCAUCCUCUGUAAGUGGCUGAAAGCGCCUCCGGCGAUUAACCAGUUCACCCAGGCCUUGGACCGCCAAACAGCUACUCAGCUUCUUAAGCUGGCCACUGACCAGAGAAAAAGCAAGAGAAGAAGCAGAGGCUGUUGGCCUGGGCUAAGAAGAAAGCUGCUGGCAAAGGAUAUGUCUCUGUUAAGAGAUCACCUGUCCUUCAAGCAGGAAUUAACACCAUCACCACCUUGGUGGGGAACAAGAAGGCUCAGCUGGUGGUGACUGCACAGGACAUGGAUCCCAUCGAGCUGGUGUCUUCCUGCCUGCCCUGUGUCAUAACAUGAGGGCCCCUUACUGCAUUAUCAAGGGAAAGGCAAGACUGGGGCAUCUAGUCCACAGGAAGACCUGCACCAUUGUAGCCUUCACACACAACAAAGGAGCUCUGGCUAAACUGUUGGAAGCUAUCAGGAUCAAUUAUAACGACAGAUAUGAUGAGAUUCCCCAUCACUGGGGAGGCAACGUCCUGGGUCCCAAGUCUGGCUCACAUUGCCAAGCUGGAGAAGCCAAAGGCUAAAGAACUUGCCACCAAAUGGU
rnacentral:lncRNA from 1 species